AUGUUGAUGACAAUGCUUGAUACCAGUGUUAAUCCUUCCUCAAAGAUGCUUGAUAUGGGGAAGGUAGGCAGGAGGCAUAGCAUGAUAUUUAAAUGCAAGAUGGUUGAUGAAGCAAGGAGGUUAGACACGAAGGCUAGCGAAGAUGAAAGCAAAGCUUUGGCCAUGGAGUUGAUGAAGGUGAAAGCGAAAACAUGGUUUAAGCUUAAAGUCAGGUGA